AGAGAUAAUUCCAUAGGACGGCUGCGCACCUCAACCCAUCUCAGCUCAGUUUCCCCCAUAAAACCAGAGUCUCCAUUAUCUUCAUGUUCUAUCUUAUUGGACCUACUUUGAUGUCUUAGGUCCAGAGGCAGAGGUCCCUGGGGGUGACAUGGGGUAGAGGCAGGAUUCAGGCUCCAUCUUAUCCUCAGUCCUGGCAAGGGAGGUCUCACUGAAGGUGGUGUCAAUUAUGAAUAAUGAACUGUCAUUUCAGAAAGGCCUUUUCCAUUCCUAGUAUUUGCACAAUUCCUCCUUUGCACGCGGUUACCCUGCAGAGGUGCCUGGUGGAUUCGCUGGAAAGACGGCAGGACCCCAGGCAUUGCCACAACUAAGGUAGGAAUUUUAGCCCUGUAUUGUCAUCACCCUUGGUCAAAGAAUCUCCAAGCUGGGUAAGAUCCUGCCAGACAAAUCAUUUGAUUUUCCAGUAGCGUGGGGCUCUGUGCCGCCUGGAUGCAGAAUGUCGACCUUAAGGUGAUCGCUCAGAGCAUUUCUAUCACCAAAGCCGUCACCUCACGCAUUUCAGGCAGGCCUGCAGCAAAGAAGAGUCCACCAGGACCAGCCGGGUGGACUGUGGCGGUGCCCUUGGUCCCGAGUAGGUGGCAGCCGCACAGAGGCUCCGGUUAACCCUACACCACCUACAGGCAAGGCUUUACCACUGGGGCUGUGGGCACUGGCACAUGACAAGUCUUUGUGGUGUAGGACUGCCCAUGAAUGCCAGAGGGGCACCCUGUCAUGUGACAGCCAAAAGUGCCCCCGAGGAAAGCAGAACUGUCCCCGGUUAGGUGUCCUCUGCUGGCACUGGGCGAGGCACGAGGGGCAGACCGGCGCCUGUGUGCAGUGCAUGCCCUUGGGUGUUCAGAGCCCACACAGAAGACAGGUAGCCCCAGUCUGAGGAGACCAGUGUGCCCUGAGGUUCAAGCAAGGGGCGUCAUCCCCAGAGUGUACAAGAAGGGUGCUCAGGGCCGGGAGCCCUGGGCAGAGGCUGUGGGAUGAGCAGGCAUCACCCCGGGGAAUGUCUUUGCAGUGUAGAUGCUUUGGGCCCCAUGGCCUGCACUCAACACAACAGGGUUUGCGUUCAGGCCUCACUUAGACUGGUCACCUAGAGCUCCAUGGCCUCUGACCAUAGGCCUCCGAGCACAAUCCUCCCCUCAAAGGCCCUCUGGGCUCCAGUAGUCCUGCCUCACUCUGCCUCUGAAGCUCUAGGAGCAAUUUUGCCUAUUUGAGCUCAGUGAUUGCAACCAACCGGAGCUGGGGCAGUGGCUGAGGGAUCCCGGCCCUGUGGGCAUCUGGGCUUCAAGGCAUCUCUCCUCUACCAAGGUUGGACAGCACUUACUUGAUUCAAGGGCCACUUCCUCUGGCUCAGGACCCCUUGGUGUGUCUCAGGGGCACGUGGGCCUUCCUGGGGGUCUGCUCCAGCCACGCAGAGCUCUUGAGGUGGCUGUGCUAACCCCACGGGCCUUUGGAAUGCUUUCUCAAGAUGAAUGAAUGGAUGAAUAGUAGAUAAUGAUAAAUUUUAACAAAUAAUAAUAACCCUUCCUCCACACAUUAACCAGCCUCAGCCACCUGACAGCCAAGGAGACAGAGGGAUUUGCAGUCUAAUUUUGAGUCAUUUAGCAAAGUCCUUGGUGAGGGCAAGUCCACA
ensembl:lncRNA